rnacentral:rRNA from 1 species
CCUACGGGGGGCAGCAGUGAGGAAUAUUGGUCAAUGGGCGAGAGCCUGAACCAGCCAAGUCGCGUGAAGGAUGACGGCCCUACGGGUUGUAAACUUCUUUUGUCAGGGAGCAAUUGAGUCCACGUGUGGUCUUAGCGAUAGUAACUGAAGAAAAAGCAUCGGCUAACUCCGUGCCUGCAGCCGCGGUAAUACGGAGGAUGCGAGCGUUAUCCGGACUUAGUGGGUGUAAAGGGUGCGUAGGCGGAAUAUCAUGUCAGCGGUAAAAAUUCGGGGCUAAACCCCGUCGUGCCGUUGAUACUGAUGAUCUUGAGUGGGCGAGAAGAAGGCGGAAUGCGUGGUGUAGCGGUGAAAUGCAUAGAUA